ensembl:snRNA U6 U6 spliceosomal RNA
GUGCUCGCUUCGGCAGCACAUAUACUAAAGUUGGAAUGAUACAGAGAAGAUUAGCAUGGCCCCUGCGCAAGGAUGACACGCAAAAAAAAAAAAAAAGAAAAGAAAAGAGUU